AAAUUGAAGAGUUUGAUCAUGGCUCAGAUUGAACGCUGGCGGCAGGCCUAACACAUGCAAGUCGAACGGUAACAGGAAGCAGCUUGCUGCUUUGCUGACGAGUGGCGGACGGGUGAGUAAUGUCUGGGAAACUGCCUGAUGGAGGGGGAUAACUACUGGAAACGGUGGCUAAUACCGCAUAACGUCGCAAGACCAAAGAGGGGGACCUUCGGGCCUCUUGCCAUCAGAUGUGCCCAGAUGGGAUUAGCUAGUUGGUGAGGUAAUGGCUCACCAAGGCGACGAUCCCUAGCUGGUCUGAGAGGAUGACCAGCCACACUGGAACUGAGACACGGUCCAGACUCCUACGGGAGGCAGCAGUGGGGAAUAUUGCACAAUGGGCGCAAGCCUGAUGCAGCCAUGCCGCGUGUAUGAAGAAGGCCUUCGGGUUGUAAAGUACUUUCAGCGGGGAGGAAGGUGUUGUGGUUAAUAACCGCAGCAAUUGACGUUACCCGCAGAAGAAGCACCGGCUAACUCCGUGCCAGCAGCCGCGGUAAUACGGAGGGUGCAAGCGUUAAUCGGAAUUACUGGGCGUAAAGCGCACGCAGGCGGUCUGUCAAGUCGGAUGUGAAAUCCCCGGGCUCAACCUGGGAACUGCAUUCGAAACUGGCAGGCUUGAGUCUUGUAGAGGGGGGUAGAAUUCCAGGUGUAGCGGUGAAAUGCGUAGAGAUCUGGAGGAAUACCGGUGGCGAAGGCGGCCCCCUGGACAAAGACUGACGCUCAGGUGCGAAAGCGUGGGGAGCAAACAGGAUUAGAUACCCUGGUAGUCCACGCCGUAAACGAUGUCUACUUGGAGGUUGUGCCCUUGAGGCGUGGCUUCCGGAGCUAACGCGUUAAGUAGACCGCCUGGGGAGUACGGCCGCAAGGUUAAAACUCAAAUGAAUUGACGGGGGCCCGCACAAGCGGUGGAGCAUGUGGUUUAAUUCGAUGCAACGCGAAGAACCUUACCUGGUCUUGACAUCCACAGAACUUUCCAGAGAUGGAUUGGUGCCUUCGGGAACUGUGAGACAGGUGCUGCAUGGCUGUCGUCAGCUCGUGUUGUGAAAUGUUGGGUUAAGUCCCGCAACGAGCGCAACCC
rnacentral:rRNA from 1 species